UCACCCCUCAAGCCCGGCUUGUUGUUGGACCAAGUCCCCGUCACACGGGACCGGUCCCAAAGAUAAUGACGGCGUCUGUUGGACCCUCGUACACUGAGCUUUCGGGCACGUACGUGGUUAAAGGACUCCAGACGACCGUUUAACCUUUGAGCGGCGAGUGCUCCGGCACUGGUCUCUCUUACUUUUUCA
rnacentral:misc_RNA from 1 species